UACGUAGGGUGCGAGCGUUGUCCGGAAUUAUUGGGCGUAAAGAGCUCGUAGGCGGCUUGUCACGUCGGUUGUGAAAGCCCGGGGCUUAACCCCGGGUCUGCAGUCGAUACGGGCAGGCUAGAGUUCGGUAGGGGAGAUCGGAAUUCCUGGUGUAGCGGUGAAAUGCGCAGAUAUCAGGAGGAACACCGGUGGCGAAGGCGGAUCUCUGGGCCGAUACUGACGCUGAGACGCGAAAGCGUGGGGAGCAAACAGG
rnacentral:rRNA from 1 species